rnacentral:rRNA from 1 species
GACGAACGCUGGCGGCGUGCUUAACACAUGCAAGUCGAACGGAAAGGCCCUGCUUUUGUGGGGUUCUCGAGUGGCGAACGGGUGAGUAACACGUGAGUAACCUGCCCUUGACUUUGUGAUAACUUCAGGAAACUGGGGCUAAUACCGGAUAGGAGCUCCUGCUGCAUGGGGGGGGUUGGAAAGUUUCGGCGGUUGGGGAUGGACUCGCGGCUUAUCAGCUUGUUGGGGGGGUAGUGGCUUACCAAGGCUUUGACGGGUAGCCUGCAUGAGAGGGUGACCGGCCACAUUGGGCCUGAGAUACGGCCCAGACUCGUACGGGAGGCAGCAGUGGGGAAUAUUGCACAAUGGGCGGAAGCCUGAUGCAGCAACGCCGCGUGCGGGAUGACGGCCUUCGGGUUGUAAACCGCUUUCGCCUGUGACGAAGCGUGAGUGACGGUAAUGGGUAAAGAAGCACCGGCUAACUACGUG